rnacentral:lncRNA from 1 species
ACCCGCGCUCGUACGUGCGCCUCCGCCGGCAGCUCCUGACUCAUCGGGGGCUCCGGGUCACAUGCGCCCGCGCGGCCCUAUAGGCGCCUCCUCCGCCCGCCGCCCGGGAGCCGCAGCCGCCGCCGCCACUGCCACUCCCGCUCUCUCAGCGCCGCCGUCGCCACCGCCACCGCCACCGCCACUACCACCGUCUGAGUCUGCAGUCCCGAGAAUUGAGGAAGAGCUGGGGGAUGAAGCUCGCUUUGCCGGACAUAACUUCCGUAAUCCCAGUGUGCUGUGAUUCCUCUGCUUGCCUGGAGACGUGGAACCUCUGUCUCAUCCUCCUGGAACCUUGCUGUCCUGAUCUGUGAUAGUUCACCCCCUGAGAUCCCCUGAGCCCCAGGGUGCCCAGAACUUCCCUGAUUGACCUGCUCCGCUGCUCCUUGGCUUACCUGACCUCUUGCUGUCUCUGCUCGCCCUCCUUUCUGUGCCCUACUCAUUGGGGUUCCGCACUUUCCACUUCUUCCUUUCUCUUUCUCUCUUCCCUCAGAAACUAGAAAUGUGAAUGAGGAUUAUUAUAAAAGGGGGUCCGUGGAAGAAUGAUCAGCAUCUGUGAUGGGAGCGUCAGGGUUGGUGUGCUGAGGUGUUAGAGAGGGACCAUGUGUCACUUGUGCUUUGCUCUUGUCCCACGUGUCUUCCACUUUGCAUAUGAGCCGUGAACUGUGCAUAGUGCUGGGAUGGAGGGGAGUGUUGGGCAUGUGAUCACGCCUGGCUAAUAAGGCUUUAGUGUAUUUAUUUAUUUAUUUAUUUUAUUUGUUUUUCAUUCAUCCCAUUAAUCAUUUCCCCAUAACUCAAUGGCCUAAAACUGGCCUGACUUGGGGGAACGAUGUGUCUGUAUUUCAUGUGGCUGUAGAUCCCAAGAUGACUGGGGUGGGAGGUCUUGCUAGAAUGGGAAGGGUCAUAGAAAGGGCCUUGACAUCAGUUCCUUUGUGUGUACUCACUGAAGCCUGCGUUGGUCCAGAGCGGAGGCUGUGUGCCUGGGGGAGUUUUCCUCUAUACAUCUCUCCCCAACCCUAGGUUCCCUGUUCUUCCUCCAGCUGCACCAGAGCAACCUCUCACUCCCCAUGCCACGUUCCACAGUUGCCACCACCUCUGUGGCAUUGAAAUGAGCACCUCCAUUAAAGUCUGAAUCAGUGC